GACGAACGCUGGCGGCGCGCUUAACACAUGCAAGUCGAACGGUAAGGCCCUUCGGGGUACACGAGUGGCGAACGGGUGAGUAACACGUGGGUGAUCUGCCCUGCACUUCGGGAUAAGCCUGGGAAACUGGGUCUAAUACCGGCUAGGACCUCUGCCUGCAUGGGUGGUGGUGGAAAGCUUUUGCGGUGUGGGAUGGGCCCGCGGCCUAUCAGCUUGUUGGUGGGGUGAUGGCCUACCAAGGCGACGACGGGUAGCCGGCCUGAGGGGUGACCGGCCGAACGGGGACUGAGAUGCGGCCCGGACUCCUACGGGAGGCAGCAGUGGGGGAUAUUGCACAAUGGGCGCAAGCCUGAUGCAGCGACGCCGCGUGAGGGAUGACGGCCUUCGGGUUGUAAACCUCUUUCAGCACCGACGAAGCGCAAGUGACGGUAGGUGCAGAAGAAGGACCGGCCAACUACGUGCCAGCCGCCGCAGUAA
rnacentral:rRNA from 1 species